GCCCGCCUAGCUCAAUCGGAUAGAGCGUCAGACUCUUACUGACUAUGGGCGGAUCUGAAGGCUGCGAGUUCGACCCUCGCGGUGGGCU